UACGUAGGGGGCCAGCGUUGUCCGGAAUCAUUGGGCGUAAAGCGCGCGUAGGCGGCCAGAUAAGUCCGGUGUGAAAGUCAAAGGCUCAACCUUUGAAUGCCGCUGGAAACUGUCUGGCUUGAGUCCGGGAGGGGCGAGUGGAAUUCCUGGUGUAGCGGUGAAAUGCGCAGAUAUCAGGAGGAACACCGAUGGCGAAGGCAGGUCUCUGGGCCACUACUGACGCUGAGAAGCGAAAGCAUGGGGAGCGAACAGG
rnacentral:rRNA from 1 species